rnacentral:rRNA from 1 species
GGGAGAAAGAGGGCUUAGCUUUGAUGCUCUCGCUAUUAGAUGAGCCUGCGUAAGAUUAGCUUGUUGGUGAGGUAAAGGCUUACCAAGGCGACGAUCUUUAGCUGGUCUGAGAGGACGAUCAGCCACAUUGGGACUGAGACACGGCCCAGACUCCUACGGGAGGCAGCAGUGGGGAAUAUUGGACAAUGGGCGCAAGCCUGAUCCAGCCAUACCGCGUGUGUGAAGAAGGCUUUCGGGUUGUAAAGCACUUUAAGUAAGGAAGAAAAGAGUAUUGUUAAUACCAAUACUCCGUGACAUUACUUACAGAAUAAGGACCGGCUAAUUCCGUGCCAGCAGCCGCGGUAAUACGGAAGGUCCAAGCGUUAAUCGGAAUUACUGGGCGUAAAGCGCGCGUAGGUGGUUUAUUAAGUUGGGUGUGAAAGCCCCGGGCUCAACCUGGGAACUGCAUCCAAAACUGAUUCACUAGAGUACGAAAGAGGAAAGUAGAAUUCACAGUGUAGCGGUGGAAUGCGUAGAUAUUGUGAAGAAUACCGAUGGCGAAGGCAGCUUUCUGGUUCUGUACUGACACUGAGGUGCGAAAGCGUGGGUAGCGAACAGGAUUAGAUACCCUGGUAGUCCACGCCGUAAACGAUGACAACUAGCUGUUGGGAAGCUAUGCUUUUCAGUGGCGCAGCUAACGUCUUAAGUUGUCCGCCUGGGGAGUACGGCC